rnacentral:rRNA from 1 species
AACGAACGCUGGCGGCAUGCCUAACACAUGCAAGUCGAACGAAGGCUUCGGCCUUAGUGGCGCACGGGUGCGUAACGCGUGGGAAUCUGCCCUUAGGUUCGGAAUAACAGUUAGAAAUGACUGCUAAUACCGGAUGAUGACGUAAGUCCAAAGAUUUAUCGCCUGAGGAUGAGCCCGCGUAGGAUUAGCUAGUUGGUGUGGUAAAGGCGCACCAAGGCGACGAUCCUUAGCUGGUCUGAGAGGAUGAUCAGCCACACUGGGACUGAGACACGGCCCAGACUCCUACGGGAGGCAGCAGUGGGGAAUAUUGGACAAUGGGCGCAAGCCUGAUCCAGCAAUGCCGCGUGAGUGAUGAAGGCCUUAGGGUUGUAAAGCUCUUUUACCCGUGAUGAUAAUGACAGUAGCGGGAGAAUAAGCCCCGACUAACUCCGUG